rnacentral:rRNA from 1 species
AUUGAACGCUGGCGGCAGGCCUAACACAUGCCAGUCGAGCGGAUGAAGGGAGCUUGCUCCUGGAUUCAGCGGCGGACGGGUGAGUAAUGCCUAGGAAUCUGCCUGGUAGUGGGGGAUAACGUCCGGAAACGGGCGCUAAUACCGCAUACGUCCUGAGGGAGAAAGUGGGGGAUCUUCGGACCUCACGCUAUCAGAUGAGCCUAGGUCGGAUUAGCUAGUUGGUGGGGUAAAGGCCUACCAAGGCGACGAUCCGUAACUGGUCUGAGAGGAUGAUCAGUCUCACUGGAACUGAGACACGGUCCAGACUCCUACGGGAGGCAGCAGUGGGGAAUAUUGGACAAUGGGCGAAAGCCUGAUCCAGCCAUGCCGCGUGUGUGAAGAAGGUCUUCGGAUUGUAAAGCACUUUAAGUUGGGAGGAAGGGCAGUAAGUUAAUACCUUGCUGUUUUGACGUUACCAACAGAAUAAGCACCGGCUAACUUCGUG